UCCGCGCCUCAGAAGCAGCUCGCUCAAACUCAUUCACUAAGGAAACGCCCUUUGUGUCCACAGCUGGGUUCCCUCAUCCAGGCGCGCACACACGCACGCACUCGCGCGCUCGCAAAACUUCAGCCACAACUUCGGUUGUCAUUACGGUCCCAUCCCUGGGACGCAGACCCGGGCAGGAACACACUCUGGCCGAAUGGAGAUGGGCUGCCAUCUCAACUCAUUGAAAGUGCCGUCAGUUUAGCGGACGACCUGCAAACCGUGCUGGAAAGCUGGACCCGCGGUGAAGAGAGGAAGACCUCGGAGCUUUUGCGGUGCCCACCGCACCGGACAGACACAAAGCAGGACUCUUGUUUGAAUAACAAAAAGUUGAGAAAAGAAUAUGUACAGCCUUGGAUUCCUACAGAUUGUUGCUUGCAUUUACUCGACAUUCUCUUUUUGCAGACAUCAGUUUCUUCACAGAAUCCCUUUCCGCCUCCCCUGCCCGACUUUUUUGUAUUUCCAUUGUUUUUGACAUCAAGAACUUGGAAUGUUCCUACUUAAGAUUUUCCUAUCUUUUUCUAAGCUCAGAGGGAGGAAAGGGAAUCUGAGAAAUCUCUAGCAUUUAGCAAUUCAUCACAUCAGUCAUUUUCACACAAAAGCAAGGCAAACUUGAUUUUAAAGAUCUUCAAAAGUAACUCAGUAACUCUUGAGAGACCCAAACUUAAAGUUUUGCUUUCUAGUUAUGUUAGGACAGCAGACAUCCCAUUUGCUUUGAUAACAUAGAAAAGUCACUAGCAAACUAGGUUUAUUUCUGCAAGGUAUUUGUUUUCUCCAAAAGCUCCACCGUGGGGUAAUUUGAACAGCACUGUCUAUAGAGUGCCCAAACACAUUAAAGAUACAAACCUAGUAUUUGUUUUUAUUGGAGUAAGAAAUUCAGGAAAAAAACAUGACAGCAAAUGUCAGUUUCCCCUGAGGAGUGUAAAAUAACCUCUCCUCUGGAGGGGUCUUUGUCACCAGUAUUUCAAGUUGAAAAGAGUGUGGUGGAUUUCCCCAAAUUUAGAAUCCCAUCUGGGUUAGAGGUGUUUUUUUUGCUGUUGUUGUUGUUUGUUUUGUUUUGUUUUAUUUCUCACCAUCACCUGACAAAACAGUUUUCUUUUUCAAAUAUAAAAAGGUUCAUUGUAAAAUGCUAAGCAAAUUUCUGGGAAGAUGGGUGUUCCUUCCAGAAGAGAACAUACCUGGAAAUCAUGUGUAUAAGCAAGAUAAACCUGAAGCGAAAGCUUUCUUAAAAACACAUAGAUUUGAUAUAUUUUUUUAAAAAAAUAGUAUGGGUUGGGGGAAAAAUACACCAAAUGUAAGAUAAGGACUGUCGUUGGUAGUAAUAUUUUGACGAUGCUCUUGCACAGUUUGUAACAAACGUUUCACACCAAUGCAAAGAGUUGGUGGAGGGGUGAUGUAUGAGACCCCUGUGUGACGUUAUGUAUGCUUAUUUUGUAAGCUCACAAUCUUUACUGUACACUUAUUGUUUAUGUGUGUUCAUGUAUGAAUGAUAUACUUCAAUAAAAAAAUUGUUCAAAAAUACAAGAUUAGGGGGGAGGAUAUAAAAGUGGCUAGAAAAUAUUUUGUCAAUCAAAAGCAUGAAAGUUUGAUACAUUUGCUGUACUGAAAAUACAGAAUUUCAUAAAUAAGUGUGUGUGUGUGUGUGUGUAUAUAUAUAUAUGUAUGUAUUUGGGGAGGCC
ensembl:lincRNA